GGUAGCAUAAUCACUUGCCCAUUAAUUGUGGGCUAGAAUGAAAGGACCAACGAAAUAAAAACUGUCUCUAUAAGUAACAUAAAAAUUAAUCUCUAACUGAAGAUUGUUAGAUAGCAUCGAAGGACAAGAAGACCCUAUAGAGCUUUAUUUUUACAAAUAACUAAAAUUUAUAUAAAAUUCGGUUGGGGCGACCGGGGAAAUUGGCUAUCAUCCCCUAAUAACAGAUAAAUAAAUCACAUACUUGACCCUUUCUAAAGAUCAUAAAAACAAGCUACCUUAGGGAUAACAGGCUAAUCCCGCUAAAGAGUCCUUAUCAAUAGCAGGGUUUGGCAC
rnacentral:rRNA from 1 species